GAUGAACGCUGGCGGCGUGCCUAAUACAUGCAAGUCGAGCGAACAGACGAGGAGCUUGCUCCUCUGACGUUAGCGGCGGACGGGUGAGUAACACGUGGAUAACCUACCUAUAAGACUGGGAUAACUUCGGGAAACCGGAGCUAAUACCGGAUAAUAUAUUGAACCGCAUGGUUCAAUAGUGAAAGACGGUUUUGCUGUCACUUAUAGAUGGAUCCGCGCCGCAUUAGCUAGUUGGUAAGGUAACGGCUUACCAAGGCGACGAUGCGUAGCCGACCUGAGAGGGUGAUCGGCCACACUGGAACUGAGACACGGUCCAGACUCCUACGGGAGGCAGCAGUAGGGAAUCUUCCGCAAUGGGCGAAAGCCUGACGGAGCAACGCCGCGUGAGUGAUGAAGGUCUUCGGAUCGUAAAACUCUGUUAUUAGGGAAGAACAAAUGUGUAAGUAACUAUGCACGUCUUGACGGUACCUAACCAGAAAGCCACGGCUAACUACGU
rnacentral:rRNA from 1 species